GAUGAACGCUGGCGGCGUGCCUAAUACAUGCAAGUCGAGCGAACGGACGAGGAGCUUGCUUCUCUGAUGUUAGCGGCGGACGGGUGAGUAACACGUGGAUAACCUACCUAUAAGACUGGGAUAACUUCGGGAAACCGGAGCUAAUACCGGAUGAUAUUUUGAACCGCAUGGUUCAAUUGUGAAAGACGGUCUUGCUGUCACUUAUAGAUGGAUCCGCGCUGCAUUAGCUAGUUGGUAAGGUAACGGCUUACCAAGGCAACGAUGCGUAGCCGACCUGAGAGGUGGUCGGGCAAACUGGGACUUGAGACACGUUCCAGACUCCUAGGGAAGGCAGCAGUAGGAAUGCUUCCGCAAUGGGCGAAGGCCGGAGGGAGCAACGCCGGGUGAGUGAUGAAGUCUUCCGAAUCGUAAAACCCUGUUAUUAGGGAAGAACAAAUUGUUAAGUAACAGGGCCGACUUGACGGGAACCAAUUCAGAAAGCACCGGCUACCACGUG
rnacentral:rRNA from 1 species